AUGUUGGACAGCUGGCUUAAACCUGGACUCUCUCUUUCUAGAGAAGCAGAGCCUGUUGAGGAUGAGAGUCCACUGAGGGAGGAGAAUGCAGAGGAGGAGGAGGAGGAGGAAGAGGAGGUGGAGGAGGAGGAGGAGGAGGAGGAGGAGGAGGAGAUAGAUGAAGAGGGGUGGGGAGAGAUGGAGGAGGAAGAGGAAGAUGACUGGGAGAAUGAGGAGAAUGAAGAGACACCGAUCACCAGUGAGGAGGGUGAGUCACCUCCUCACUUAUCUGAGGAGGGCUCUGGGGGCUAUGAAGGCUCUGCAGAUGCCUUUGUGACCCUGGGUGACAUCGGUUCUGGGGAGUCAUGGACAGAGGAAGGUAUGGAUGUUGUGGGUGAGAGUCAACCCUCUGAGAGCCAGGCAAAACCAGCAGAGCAGGAGCUACGAGAGGAGCACCUUCUGAGCCCUUAGGCCUACAGUGGCACGCGUGCGCGUUCACACACAUACACGCACACGCACGCACACACACACACACACACACGCACACACACACACACACACACACACACACACACACAAAGCAGCUUUAUUAGUGUACCCUCUAAUUUCAUUCAAUCAUUUCAAACACAUUUCAAGUCUUAUCAAUCUCAUAUUGCCACACUUUCGAUGGGUUUAUGCAAACAUUUAGGUAAACCCUUUAUUGUGGUCUGGUAGAUCCCAACAUCAAAGCCUUUUCAUUUUAACCACUGUGAGCUGGAAUGUAUCCAAUAUAUGAAAUAAAUUUCUGUUUUGGUUUUUGACAUUUCUACUUUGUAUUUGUAAAAAAAAAAAGAAAAACUGUCAAAAAAUGAUAAAUUACAAAAACGAUAAAUGAUAUAUAACAAAAACGUUAUCUCUUUUCUUAAUGUGUCCCCCUCCCAAAAGAGUUUAACAUAUCUCCAGUCAGCCAAUUUGCCAUUUCUGGAUUUGAACGGUAGGAGAAACAUCGAUUUAUUUGAACCGUACUUUAACUGUACUAAUUAUAACUUAAAGCUCAAUGGAACACAGGUGAUUUUAGAAUUCAACUUUUUUAACUAUACUGCUCCCUUUACCCACUAGAGGGCGCUAACGUAUAAUUUAAAACGCUUUAAGCGUGAUUAUAGGCACCUUAAGAUAUCUGAACUCGAUAAACAUUAGAGGCGCAAGGGGGAGGACCAGUUCGGUAGUCUUCGUGCUAUGAUUGGUCGGAAUCUUAACAACAACCCGCCCCCGGAUUUUGUGUACGGAAUAUGAUUGGGUCAUACGAUAAAGAGCUCUAGAGUGCAAAGAUAGGUAACACACCGUCUAAACGAAAGGGGGACAAGAACUCUUAGUUCUAAUACAUUGACAAAAAAGUUUUCCGAAUUAAUUUAGGUCGCCACAGACACUUCUCAAAUAAACAUUUGGACCAGGGCUGCCAAGUUAUUUCUUUUGAAUCCUUGAUCAUUUUGUCCCUCUGGCCCCGCCCCUCUCACAGUUCCCGUACACAUGACCCACGUCACAUGACGUAGGGUCAUGAUACUUCCUGGUUCAGACAAACGGGCUGGCUUCACGGAACGGGGCUAUCU
ensembl:lncRNA